AAGAAAAUAAUACAGUUUUGCUUUAUGCUUUGUGCAACAAAGGAAAUUGGUGGGCAGGAACACUAUAAAUGAAGAAAUUUGCUAGGAAAUGUGAAUAUACUUUCUAGAGAUGCUUGCAGGAGAAGUAGAAUUACUUCUGUUUUCCCUGAUCUUAUCAUGCGGCUUCCUAGAGGCUGGUGGAAUUGCUGGAGUCUUUGUCGACUUGAUCCUUUUUCCUCUGGAUACUGUAAAAACUAGACUGCAAAGUCCCCAAGGAUUUAGGAAAGCUGGUGGCUUUCGUGGCAUCUAUGCUGGUGUUCCCUCCACUGCUAUAGGAUCCUUUCCAAAUGCUGCUGCAUUUUUUAUCACGUAUGAGAAUGUGAAAUCUGUGCUGCACCAUGACUCUACAUCGUACUUGACUCCAGUAACACACAUGGUCGCUGCCUCUUUUGGGGAAGUGGUUGCAUGCCUCAUUCGGGUUCCAUCUGAAGUUGUCAAGCAAAGGGCUCAAGUUUCACCUUCUGCUGGUACCUUUCGGAUUCUUUCCCGCACCUUGUACCAUGAGGGUAUUCAAGGACUCUAUCGAGGUUAUAAAAGCACAGUAUUAAGAGAGCUGGAGAACAAUUGUGAAGACCAAGGUUCAAAUCACAUCCGUAAAUCCAAUCCACUGCUGCGUGUCACACACAGAGCCUGUAACAGGCGACACAACUCCCACCACCAUUCCCUUCUCUCUGGUACAGUUUCCCCUCUGGGAGUUCUUAAAGGAUCUCUGGUCAUGGAAGCAGGGUCACGUGGUGGAUUCUUGGCAGUCAGCAGUCUGUGGAGCUUUUGCAGGUGGAUUUGCAGCUGCAGUCACCACACCUCUCGAUGUAGCGAAGACAAGAAUUAUGUUGGCAAAGACAGGUACCACGGCUGCUAGCGGGAACGUGCUGGCUGCCCUUGGUGGCAUCUGGAGGACGCAAGGACUGCCGGGCUUGUUUGCAGGUGUUGUCCCGCGGAUCGCAGCCAUCAGCCUGGGAGGGUUCAUCUUCCUGGGGACCUACGAGAAGACGCGCCAGCUGCUGCUCUGAGCCGGGGCUUGUGGAAGAGCCCGAAAAGCUGCCGACCCCGAGGAGGAGUCUGCCCACGAGCACAGCCUUCCUCCUCCUGCCGCCUCUUGGCUGCGCCCGCGGCAGCUGUCAAGCAGCCUUGAACGCCACGUUCACUGUUAACGAAAAGUAAAUCCUCAAAUAAUCCAAUUUCCCAAACAUGAAAUUUUUCCUGCGUGGAAAAUGAGUGAAGUCAUUGUGAGAGUCGUGCCAAAACAAAGUGAUGUUUGGGGGGCACACAGCUAAUUACGGCGGCCGUGAAAGGCGUUACUAGAACUCCUGCGGGGGGAAAUGUUUUGCAAACCUCCAGCUCGUGGGCUGAGCGGGGAAGCUGAAAUAAAGCAAGUGUUCAUAAUUCGGUGGCACCUGCCUCGUAACGCAAGGAGGGUUCUGCUGUUUGUGGUAGAGUUACAGCCUGCCGCCCUCCAACAGCACUGACAGUACUCCAGGUUGGGAGGGCUCUUUGUGAGAGACAAUCAUCCAUUUGUUUCUGAUUUUGAGCCGCGUUUGUGCAAGUUUAUAUUCCUGUUUAUACCUACAGGUGCACAGCAAGCAUUCCUGCGUGGUAACCAGCGCGGCGUUAUUAAUUAGACUCACAUUUCUCCGGUAAAAGCACGGGGCUGUAUUAUUUUACAGCUGUGCCUCAGCGAAGACCUGCGGUUUGGCCUUUUCUUGGUCGUCUUCUCUCGAUGAAGGAGCAGGGAUUGGGAAUGGCAGAGCCCAGGAGGGGAGUGCAUGAGUUGGGGUGGUUCCAAAGCCUCCGAGGGCUGCUGGCAGGCAGAGCAAUCCUCUGUGUUGAUGCGGUGCUCGGAAGGAGAAGCUGCGGUGGCCCGAAUGGUGCAGGGACGUGCUCGGUGAAAAGGCACGAUUGGAAUUACGAACUUAAAAUCAACACCAGAAUCAGGGGGGAAAAAAUAAUUGGCUAAGUUUGCUGGGCUACGUGAUGCUUGGAAAUCUUUAGACACAGAGAGGGUUUGUGCUGGGAGGCCUGGGCUGGGUGCAGGUUCCCAGCUGCAUCAGCACCAUGGAGGCUUUUGUCUCUGGGGCCAUGCUGGGUGGCUGCUGGUCAGCACUGGGAUGUGGCAGCGGCCACAAAGGCCUGGAACGCUCUCCUUGUCCAUCUGCACAACGUUUCUGAGGUAACUGAAGUCAAGUCUGUGAUUGCCUGUUUCCCUGUGUCCUGUAUGUAACGUUUUGGUCGUCGUCCUUAGGGAGGGAUGUUUUAUUACACGGUCAUCCCAUGACAUAGCAGCCAGACUUCUGUGAGUCCCAAGCUUAGAAAAUCAUUAGCAAGCAAGUAAAAUGUGCAGAGCAGAGGCCGUAAUUCCUAAAAAUAAUCGUCAAUUAAAAGGAGGAAUUUCAACCAAGUCCCAUCUUGGCUGGUUACUUCUCCCAGUUUCCAUGGCACAGUGCAGCACUUCUAAGGUUCUCUCUUUUAUGAAGCUUUAUAUAUAGCAGACUCAGUUUUAGGGGCAUUGGAGGGUGGGAGAUUUAUUACUCAGUCUUAAAAGCUACGUCGUAUUUUCUACUGAAGCUCUUUAAACAGACGAGUGGGUUAGAACUGCUGUUGGGGUAUUCAAUUACUUGAGCUGCAAGUAAUCAUGCCUCAGUCCCUGGAUCCAAAUAUUGUUUUUCUGUUGUUUACUAUUUGCACAAUCAGCUUUUGUCAUCGCCACCUAGAGAAAGUAGCCAAAUUUUUAGCAACUUUAAUGGUGCAUGGGGUAAGGAGAAACCUCUGCAAUUCUGUGAUAUUAAGGCUGCUUGUCCAUGCUUAUUUUGUAAUUCCUGAGCAAACAAACAGCAGAACAGCCUUUGCUCAUGCUGUUAUUUUUGCUGAGGUUGAAGGGUCAGUGGGUAAGAAAGGGGGGGAGGUCAAAGCACCUUCUGGAUGCUUGGUACCAGAGCCAUGCCAUCCUGCAGCUGAACGCUCCCUGUCAGUAGGGCACUGCAGUGAGAGCAAAUUUAGGGAGGAAAAAAAAAAAACAACACACUACAAGAGUUAAUUAA